AAUGAACGUUGGCGGCGUGGAUUAGGCAUGCAAGUCGAGCGAGAAGCUUCCCUUCGGGGGGGUGGACAGCGGCGUAAGGGAGAGUAACGCGUGGAUUACUUACCCUCGGGACCGGGAUAGCUGCGGGAAACUGCAGGUAAUACCGGAUAAUAUCUCCGGAUCAAAUGGUGUGAUUCCGCCCGAGGAUGGGUCCGCGUCCUAUUAGCUUGUUGGUGGGGUAAUGGCCUACCAAGGCUACGAUGGGUACCGGGCGUGAGAGCGUGGCCCGGCUCACUGGGACUGAGACACUGCCCAGACACCUACGGGUGGCUGCAGUCGAGAAUCUUCGGCAAUGAGCGCAAGCUUGACCGAGCGACGCCGCGUGCGGGAUGAAUGCCUUCGGGUUGUAAACCGCUGUCAGAGGGGAUGAAAUGCCGGGUAGUAAUUCAUAAUCGAUCCGGUUGACAAUC
rnacentral:rRNA from 1 species